rnacentral:rRNA from 1 species
UACGUAGGAUGCAAGCGUUGUCCGGAAUUAUUGGGCGUAAAGAGCGAGCAGGCGGUUUGGAAAGUUGGACGUGAAAUUUUAGGGCUUAACCCUAAAGGGUCGUCCAAAACUCCCAGACUAGAGUGCAGGAGAGGAAAGCGGAAUUCCCGGUGUAGUGGUGAAAUGCGCAGAUAUCAGGAGGAACACCGAUGGCGAAGGCAGGUCUCUGGGCCAUAACUGACGCUGAGAAGCGAAAGCAUGGGGGAGCGAACAGG